UACGUAGGGGGCAAGCGUUGUCCGGAAUUAUUGGGCGUAAAGAGCGCGUAGGCGGUCCGAUAAGUCGGCUGUGAAAGUCAGGGGCUCAACCCUUGAAAGCCGGCCGAUACUGUCGGACUAGAGUCCGGAAGAGGCAAGUGGAAUUCCCGGUGUAGCGGUGAAAUACGCAGAUAUCGGGAGGAACACCAAUGGCGAAGGCAGCUUGCUGGGACGGUACUGUCGCUGAGGCGCGAAAGCGUGGGGAGCAAACAGG
rnacentral:rRNA from 1 species